rfam:Triticum aestivum genome assembly, contig: Triticum_aestivum_CS42_TGACv1_scaffold_149577_2BS
AUAGUACUCCCUCCGUCCGAAAAUACUUGCCGGAGAAAUGGAUGUAUCUAGAUGUAUUCUAGUUCUAGAUACAUCCAUUUUUAUCCAUUUCCCCGACAAGUAUUUUCUAGACGGAGGGAGUAUCUC